AACGAACGCUGGCGGCGUGCCUAACACAUGCAAGUCGUACGUGAAAAUCCGCUUCGGCGGGUGAGUAAAGUGGCGCACGGGUGAGUAACGCGUGGAUAAUCUGCCUUUAAGCUGGGAAUAACUCACCGAAAGGUGGGCUAAUACCCGAUAAUGCUAUGGAGCUUCGGUUUUAUAGCCAAAGAGAGCCUCUACAUGUAAGCCCUCACUUAAAGAUGAGUCCGCGUACCAUUAGCUAGUUGGUAGGGUAAUGGCCUACCAAGGCGACGAUGGUUAGCUGGUCUGAGAGGAUGAUCAGCCACACUGGAACUGAGACACGGUCCAGACUCCUACGGGAGGCAGCAGUGAGGAAUAUUGCGCAAUGGGGGCAACCCUGACGCAGCAACGCCGUGUGAGUGAGGAAGGUUUUCGGAUCGUAAAGCUCUGUCGGGUGGGAAGAAAUGCACGGGGGUUAAUAGCCUUUGUACUUGACGGUACCGCCAAAGGAAGCACCGGCUAACUCCGUGCCAGCAGCCGCCGUAAUAC
rnacentral:rRNA from 1 species